AAUAGAUACCCCGGUAGUCCACGCCGUAAACGAUGGAUACUAGCUGUUUGAGCGCAAGUUUGAGUGGCUAAGCGAAAGUGAUAAGUAUCCCACCUGGGGAGUACGGGCGCAAGCCUGAAACUCAAAGGAAUUGACGGGGGCCCGCACAAGCGGUGGAGCAUGUGGUUUAAUUCGAUGAUACGCGAGGAACCUUACCGAGGGCUUAAAUGUAGAUUGACGUAUUUGGAAACAGAUAUUUCUUCGGACAAUUUACAAGGUGCUGCAUGGUUGUCGUCAGCUCGUGCCGUGAGGUGUCAGGUUAAGUCCUAUAACGAGCGCAACCCCUGUUGUUAGUUGCCAGCGAGUAAUGUCGGGAACUCUAGCAAGACUGCCAGUGUAAACUGUGAGGAAGGUGGGGAUGACGUCAAAUCAUCACGGCCCUUACGUCCUGGGCCACACACGUGCUACAAUGGCCGGUACAGAGAGCAGCCACUUAGCGAUAAGGAGCGAAUCUAUAAAGCCGGUCACAGUUCGGAUCGGAGUCUGCUAACCG
rnacentral:rRNA from 1 species